rnacentral:lncRNA from 1 species
CAGCUAGAGAUUGAUAGAUGACACAGAGGUGUUGGUUUCCGGUUGUUUGCUUGAUCUUUGCAGAAAGAGUAGAUAAUUCUGGAGCUUUUCGGAAUUGAAAGAGGACGAACACAGUAUUAAAACAAAUUGCUUGAUCUGUCUGGUUUUGGAGGUACAGAGCUGGGUUGCUUUUAAUCGGUGGUACUGGUCUACAUAUCAUUUGUGUUACCUCUUGAGAAGCUACAUAGGUUUGGUUAGAAGCUGAGGUUUUUCCGUGCGGUCCCAGUCUUGGUCUCUUUGUGUCCGGUUGCUGCUGGGUUCUGAAGAUCUUUGUUAGCAAAACGAAUAUCAAUAGAUAUGGAAACUUGCUCGAACGCGGUGUCAGGCAAUGAGGAGAAAUUGAGAUGAGGCCAGUUAAAGUACGGGACAUCCAACCACUGAAGAAAAACUUAUCGAUCAAGGAUUGGGUGUGUUAUGGAGAUUAAAAUAAAGAUAAAGCAGGCUAUAUAUUUUACGGAACAACAUUCUGAUCGAUGAAGGUUCAGUACGUGAAAUCCAAUCACCCUUUCAUGGUCCUGUCACAACUAUACAUUUUGAUGAAAGAGGCUUUACGCUGUAUGUUGGUACUUUUAACAAUUGUAAACCCCGCAGCAAAGUGCGGACAUACUUUCUAGUAUGCAUUAAUUACAAGA